CCCCCAUUACCAGGUCAAGUACAUACAAACUGGGCUUUAUGGAGAGUCCCUUUGGGAUUAAGGAAAUCUUGGGUUCCCCCCAUUACCAGGUCAAGGAUGCUCUUUUCAUAGCUUUCGAACAAACUCAUACAAACUGAUCUUUAUGGAGAGUCCCUCUGAGAUUAAGUGUUGAAUGAGGAAAUCUUGGAUUCCCCCCAUUACCAGGUCAAGUACAUACAAACUAAGCUUUAUGGAGAGUUGCUCUGGGAUUAAG